rnacentral:tRNA from 1 species
UAAUAAGAAGUAAACAUUUACAUAUUAAUUUCGACUUAAUAAUAGAUUUAAAAUAUCCUUAUUAA